rnacentral:rRNA from 1 species
CUCAGAAUGAACGCUGGCGGCAUGCCUAACACAUGCAAGUCGAACGAAUGCCCUUCGGGGUGUUAGUGGCGCACGGGUGCGUAACGCGUGGGAAUCUGCCCUUGGGUUCGGAAUAACAGUUGGAAACGACUGCUAAUACCGGAUGAUGACGUAAGUCCAAAGAUUUAUCGCCCAGGGAUGAGCCCGCGUAGGAUUAGGUAGUUGGUGUGGUAAAGGCGCACCAAGCCGACGAUCCUUAGCUGGUCUGAGAGGAUGAUCAGCCACACUGGGACUGAGACACGGCCCAGACUCCUACGGGAGGCAGCAGUGGGGAAUAUUGGACAAUGGGCGAAAGCCUGAUCCAGCAAUGCCGCGUGAGUGAUGAAGGCCUUAGGGUUGUAAAGCUCUUUUACCCGGGAUGAUAAUGACA